ACAGUGACCCACCAUGUCUCUACUACACUUAUCAACGAAUUAAAUAAUGAUACAAUUUUAUUUAUUUUUAUUAUUUUUAUUAUUUUCAUUAUUCAGCCUGCACCAACUCCUUUAAACGCUUUACUCUUUUCAUUUCUUUAUAACACUCCUUUUCUUUCCUCACUUGAGCGCAGAUAUCCAUAAAAAAACAUACCUCAUUUAGGGUUUCUGCCAUCAUCUACCUUCCUCUUCACCUCCUCACCUUCAAUUCCUCUUUCUGUUUUUUUUCCAUCUUUCUCUUCUCAUUUCUCAUCCAAACCCUUUCAAUUAACACACACACACUUCAACACUACUACUUCUAAAUUUUCUAGAUCACUUCCAAUUCUAUAUUCUCUUCGAUUCUCACUGCUCUUGCACUUCUCAUGAUUAGGGUUACCUGCACUUGAUUGCUGCUCUAUGCCUACCACCUCUUUUCUUAGCUCUUCGAUUCAAUAUGGUAUAUACAUGUACCCUUUUAUAUAUGUUGCUACAAACUUUCGUCAAAUUUUUUAAAACCAACAUAAUUCACAAAUUUUUUAUACUUGCAUGGAUUACAUAUAUAUACAUAUUUUGUACUCCUUGUUGCCAGUUCAGCUUUUUACCUUUUCCUUUUCCUAAGUUUUCUUUUAUUUCAAACUGGCCUUGUUUUGGGCCUACUGAAAUGCCUUUUCCAGUUACUUCUUCUGUUAGUUUUGUGUGAAUUAAUAAGCAGUUAAUCACUAACAUAAUUGCAAUUACAUUAGGUCAAUUUGGGUUCAGAUCAGCACAAAGGGUUUCCACUUGAGCAAACUGUAUAUUUUGUCAUCUGAUCUAUUAUUCAUUGAUUCAUGUGAGAGAAUCUGAACAUGUAUGCUUUAAAGUGAUCUGUUUAUACAAUUGCCCAUUUUAUCAUUCAUCUAAACCCUUUAUAACCUCACUAUAUAUAUAUAUAUAUACAUACACAUAUAGGUUUGUUAAUUUCCUGAUAGGAAAGCACAUAGUAUAUAGUGUGACAAUGUGUUUUUGUGAUACAAGAGGCAAUUGAUUAGCCUGGUUUUUGAGUAGCUAUAGAUUGUUUUAUUGGUUUGUGAAUUAUCUGUGGGGCAGCAAGAAUAUGAGGAAGGUGAAGUGUAGAUGUUCCUUGAAAGCCUGGGAAGGAAAUAAAACGUGUAUGCAUUGAUGUAGAUGUGAAUGAGAGUACAGUAGCGGGAGAGAAAGAGAGUGAAGGAGCUUCCUUCAGCCCACGUAUGGGUAUGAGGGACUAAAGGGGAUCUCAAGUAUCUGCUGACUCAUUCAUACACACACAGUAGGGGUUUAUAUAAAGCCAUUUUCUACUGUAAUUGUGUGAAUGAAGCAGGAGAUAUUUUGCAUCCCUCUUACUCUGUGCUUGGACUGAAGGGGAGCUCCUUCUUUCUGUUGUCUCCAUCAUUGAUAUUAAUACAUAUAACAUUAUAAUAUAUCUGUCUCCAACAAGACCAAUUUCUUAGUAUUCAUCCAGUGGCACAAAAAGUUGCAGCCACAACUGUAGCUGAUGUAACAUAUCGUCUUCUAGGUCUUUGUAAGUAUUAACUCUUCCUCACUAGGCUGCCCAAGAUUCAGCCAACAUCUGCAACAGUGGCAUAUGAGUUUUAUAGCUGGAUGCCCCACCUAGUAGUACUUUUUCACUUCCCAGCAAAAUCAUCUUAUAUAACCACUUUCACAGCUCCUCAUCCACAUCACAUUACAUGGAAGAGAAUCACCACUGUACAUGCUACUUUCCUUUCCAGUUCUUCAACAUUACAAGCUCAGCUUCUCUCUCAUUUCCCUUGCUUUCCUUCAAUUCUUUUCUUGGUGGCUGAAAAAGCAAAGUUUAGGUGAUGAAGGGUCCAACAGUUCACAUGUUUUAUUCGUUCGAAACUUUGCCUCCUUGAAGAGACUGAAGCAAUAAUGGAAGAAGAAGUGAAAAGCCAUGAAGAUGGAGCUCAAAAGGGGUCAAAAAGGCAUCAAGAAGGGAGAAAACCCGGAGCCCAAGCGAGGACCAGGCGAUAGAAACGCGAAACAACGAUCUGGAAAUUACCACUGGUCACUCGGACGACGGACUCGACGCCUAGGCGAUAGACGUUCGUAGUCCAGGCGCCGAAAACUGGUGCCCAAGCCUUACAAAAGCAUUGAUUCACGCCCGGGCGAGCUCCCUGCGACGCUUGAGCGUGAUUUGACGCGGAUCGGGCCCUGUAUCUGCUCUGAUUUGAUUCUUUUGGACUAGGCCGCAGUUUGGAACACUUUUGGCACUAUUUAAAGGACCCUGGGGCUUUAGGUUUUGCAUCCCUGGCAGAAGCAAGCAUAACAAUACACUCUUAGCCAAAUUCUUAGUCUUUUCAUUCUUUCUUUCUUCCAUAGUUCAUAGGGUUCCACCAUGUUUAUGGGGAACUAAACUCUAUUUGUUGUUGGGGAAUGAUGUAACCUUGUAAACUCUCAUGUAUUUGAAUUGAUU